rnacentral:tRNA from 1 species
GGAAGAGUGUCCGAGUGGCUUAAGGAGCACGCUUGGAAAGCGUGUAUACGUUAACCGCGUAUCGAGGGUUCGAAUCCCUCCUCUUCCG